rnacentral:tRNA from 1 species
GAUUAUCUAGUGUAGUGGUAGCACUCCAAAGAUUAACAAACCUAGGCUCUAAUUAAUCCGAGGAAGGGGCGGUUCAAGUCCGCCGAUAAUCA